rnacentral:lncRNA from 1 species
ACCACAAGGCUCAGGGACUGAAAAGCAGGGUAAGCGGCCGCAGCCAUGAUGGUUAGACCCGAGUCGCCAACGGUACGGUGUCGGGCGGCCGCGGGCUGGUCUGCGGCAUUUGGGACCGGGCAAAAAACGUGUUUUAUUGUCAUCAUAAAAAUAAGAGUUGGGUGGACUAGUGAUCACACUGCGUUGGUGACUGAAAAGGUUAUUUAUGUGACUGCUUUUUGCAAACCUACGUGAUCGCAAGUAACAAAAAGGGACCAACGGGAAGAAGUAGGUAAAUUUCAAGGCGAAAGCGGGGACACUUGGACCACUGCAGGCUUUUUUUGUUUGUUUUGGUGCUUCUGCUAGGCGAAGAUACGAUGGGGGUCUUCCCCUUCGCCAUUUUACCCAUUCGGAAGGAACUGAGAUAAGUGCUUUUCAACCAACCUUCGUCCUUUUUUUAAACAUAAAAUGGCCUCAGAGAAGGUUCCCAAAGCACAGCCGCCAAAAACAACCUAAGAAACCCCCAAAGUAACCAUUAAUCUUCCACUGCAUUAAAGUGGAUCACGAUGGGUCUCGGGGGUUCGCCCGAUUCCCCACACACAGUUUUUGUUCUGUAGCCACUCGGGGAGCCCUCGUCAAGCCAGCGCGGACGGGCCCCUCGGGGGGAAGCGGCGGCUCCCCUCCCGCCCUCCCUCCCGGCGGCCGGGUUCUGGGGCCGGGGCUGCGCGCCCGACCGGGCCCAACCGCCUCCGCGGCCCGGCCCGGCCCGCGGCGGCCCCAGGCCCCACCGGCGCCCCCGCCCUCCCCGCGCCGCGAGCCCUCGGCGCCCCCCCGCGCCCGCCGCCCGGCGCUCCGGCCCGAUCCGCCCGAGGCGGGAAGCGGCGGCGGCGGCGGCCGCGCGGGCGGCUGAAGAGUCGAGGCCGGGAGUCGCCGCCGUCCCCGCCCCCGCCCGGUCCGGCCGUUGCUGCAGCCUGAACGAAGCCCCCGCCGGCCACCGAACCACGUCCUUACCACGGUGUUUGUAUUUGCCGAGUUCGCCAUUUCCACACACAACACAAACAAGAGGGGGCAACCCCAAGAAAACAAGAUAAAAACAAAACCAAAAAAAAAAAAACUAUAACACCCGGAGGGUGACCCAAAUCACCGCAAGAUUGGGGAAAAAAUUUUAAACAAAAUCAAUCCUGAAGGAGUAGGGGAGAGCGGAGAGAGGAGGAGGAGGGGGGCACUCCUCCCGCAGCUGAAAACCUCGAGAAUCGCCUUAAAAAAAAAAAAAAAGCCACGACCCUUCAGGGGUCCGGGGGGCGUUGCCCGCUCCCCACCCCGCGCCAAGGAGGGAAACCACCACCGGUCACCGCUCCCUGCGCCGCCGCUGCCGCCACCGGCUGCAGCUCCAGCCGUCCGGUCCGCCCGCUUCUCUCCUUUAUAUAGCGAGCCAACAAGCUGCGCGAGCCACCACCGCCGCCGCCGCCGCCGCCGAGAGACAGGGUGAAGGGGGAGGGAGGGGCGGAAAGGGCGGGGGCAGAGGUGGGCGGGGCUGAGCGCGAGACACCGCGAGAGCCGCGUGCGCAGGCGCGCCGGGGCGGAGGCCGCCGGCGAGCCGCGUUGUCACGCGCCGUGGCGGGUACUGGACUGGCGGAGCCCGGGGAGUGAAGUAGUGAAAUCGGACCUACGCCUCUCCAACGCUCGCGUGAUCACGUGGUUGGCACCCAGGCGGAAGUCUGCGGCAGUUCUUUGCGGUGAAGAACUUGCAAAGCGUUGCUGGAAAAGACGGGAGUUCUACUGACACUCCAGUCCAAAGCUAGGUGGGACCGCCUCCUGUCGCACGUUUCCGCCUGGUCCCGCGCUUUAGGAGCUAGGAAAUGUGACAGAGGCGGUGCCUACUGCCUCGCUAGGAAUGGCCGCGGAGGAGGACUGGUCACGUGGCGUGGCUUCCGGCCUCUGGCGCGUUCCUAUUCGGGAAGGUUUUAAAUGCGGAGUCAUCUCUUGAUUUGUCAGCGAGGCUUUGACUGUGAGCUUCGCGGCGUUCGCGCCUCACCGCCUCACCGAGGGUGGGUCUUUCGCGCGCAGAAUUGUGUAGGAUUUUCCAAAGGGAGUAAAAGCCGAUCGGGGCCUACUUUUAACAUUCCACAAUUAGUAACGUCUGAUUCGUUUGUUUCCACAGUGGGUACGCUGCGAAGACUAGGCUUAUGUUACCCAGAGGUUAGUCCUCUACUAGGCCACGUACUUUAAAUAAUUUAUCACGCUAGUGGAAAUGCGGGGUGGAAGAAAACCCCACCAGCCUUUGGAUUGUAACAGCACAGUAACUUUCCCUGGUUUUUAAAAAUAUUGCCAAAAUACUGCGACUCCAUGUGGCCAACGUAUAGUGACUGAUCACUUUGAAAUGCAUGCCCUUGACCCACCAACUCGCAUGGCCUCUCGCUAUAAGAGAGCAAGCCGGCUGUGUUCCAUGUUCAAUUCAAUAAGUGCAAUUCAAUAAGCUUUUGACUUGUUCUGCCCAAGCAAAUCCUGCCUUUAUAUCGACCUUGCAAGCAGAACAGAGAAUGCUGUUUGGAAGGCAGAAUUCAUAGUACCUAGUUUUCUUGUCCCUGGGAAUUUUGAGGGACUUGAAAUGUCGCGUGGAUGAGUGAGGGAGUUUGUCUUCCAGAGACAAAGCAAAACGAAACGUCAAAGUUCUGUGCUGGUGAAACCAGAUUUGAAGAAUAUCAAAGGCGUCUUACCAAAGAGGAAAAAAAAUGCAUCUUGCCAAGACUUGAAGAAAGGGAUUAGAGAAACCAGAGGCCUUGAAUACUCAGAAAAUGGGAGAUUGUGAAUGGGUGUAGAGGAUAUCUAUGAACCUUGACAUUUCUUUUCACGCCAAGUCCAUUCCCCUGUUAACAGUUGCUUCCCAGUUUCCUGCACAGCUGCAUGGUCUGGGACACUUAAAGAAAAAAAUCACAGGAAAUCAGUGUUCUUGGUAUAUUAUAUAAAGUUAUGAUUCUAUCAACAUUUGUAAUUCAUUUAAUAUUCAGGUGACAGCCCGAAAAUUUACACUAAACAAUACCAUUCCUGUUAAGUUUUACUACAUAUUGAGAGGACUUCUUGUUACCUCCCUAUUACAUACUCCCAAACGCUUUGCACAUGGAAUCCCUCACCUUCCACCUAGUUUUCCCCCCUACUAUUGAUAUUCUUGACUAAAAGGUUGAGUAGUUUCGCCAUCAAUUAAAGUUAAAACCACUGCAGACAGGACAGGGAAGAAAAGCUACGAGGUUUGCUCUUCACAGAAUUAAUCUGUGAAAUAAUGGAUUGUAGUUACUGGAUUAAAAUGGCAGAAAACCUAGUCUUGGCCUCCUUAAGACCAUCAGACUCCCUGGAGGCUCUGAGUUGGCUUCUCUCUUUACACCUAGAUUGCAACAAGACCUAAGCACUUGGUUAAUAUUUACCCAGGAACUUAGAUUGCUUGUGUGUCUGGCAUCUAGCCAUCAUGGAUUCCAUUCCAAUAUAUUGGUUUUCCAGUCCCUCAAUAGCUGUUAUAUGCCUUCAUUGCAACAUAUGUGUGCCAUCCAGUUUAGUUUCGGAAAGAAAUAUUUUCUGUUAUACCAAAAUUGUAGGACUGAAUACUUGGAAGCUGCAGCCCUUUAAUUCACAAAACAAAAUUUGUGAGAGAAAACUUCUCCCAAGUAAGAUUACAUUUAGCAUCAUAUUUAAAUUGUUUCUAUCUGAACUUUUUAUUCUUGGUCUCCUACAGCUUGAAUGACGUUUCUAACUUUAACAGCUCUUUCUACUAUAUAAAACAUUUAUACAGGAUUUGCUGUUUGUGAUCUUACACUUUGUAGCAGCUAUGUACUUAGAUAGAUACAU